UACAGAGACUGCAAGCGUUAUUCGGAUUCACUGGGCGUAAAGCGUGCGCAGGCGGUUGGUUAAGUCUGAUGUGAAAGCCCCGGGCUCAACCUGGGAAUGGCAUUGGAAACUGGCCAGCUGGAGUGUGGCAGAGGGGGGUGGAAUUCCGCGUGUAGCAGUGAAAUGCGUAGAGAUGCGGAGGAACACCGAUGGCGAAGGCAGCCCCCUGGGCCAACACUGACGCUCAGGCACGAAAGCGUGGGGAGCAAACAGA
rnacentral:rRNA from 1 species